UACAGAGGGUGCAAGCGUUAAUCGGAAUUACUGGGCGUAAAGGGCGCGUAGGCGGUUAAAUAAGUGACUUGUGAAAGUCCUGGGCUUAACCUGGGGAUGGCAAGUCAUACUGUUUGGCUAGAGUCGUGUAGAGGGUAGUGGAAUUUCCGGUGUAGCGGUGAAAUGCGUAGAGAUCGGAAGGAACACCAGUGGCGAAGGCGGCUACCUGGACACAGACUGACGCUGAGGCGCGAAAGCGUGGGGAUCAAACAGG
rnacentral:rRNA from 1 species